AGGAGGUGCACAUAGCAUAGACCCAUGGAAGAGGAGGGAUCUGAGAAGGACUUUGAAAAAAGUGUAGGAGAGGCUGUGAGAAAACAAGGCAGGUGUCCUGACUGAGGACAGGAAGGAGGCACUGUGAUGGAAAUUGGGCCCCAUUUUCUUGGAGGAUUGGCAAGAGGACCUGUGGAUGGAGCGGCCCACACAACUGCCGGAACCUCAGGCAGUUUUCAAGCAGAUUGACCUUCCUGCUGGAACACAGCAGAUGAGAUAAAUCUACAGGGGCCACAAUCCACAGAUCUCACAGAGAGCUCAGAGGACCAAAGAGAAGAAAACCCCACCAGAGAAUUUGCCUCCAUUCAACAACCUAGCCUGACCAUCUUGCUGCAGGGGCAUGGAAGUGUGUGUUUAGUGGUAAGAGGGGUUUGGGUGUCUCUGCCAAAUCACUUACGAGCUUUUUCAGACAGAAACCAUGUCUAGUAUUCCAUUCUCAUUUCCCAAAUAGUACUUUUGCUUAGUGUUGCAGGUCACAAUGGGUAUUUGUUAACCUGAUUUAAACCUAACCAUAUGGAAGGAUUAUUUUGUGUCUGUGAGGCUGACACAGUAGUAGUCAUAGCUGCCUCGUGCCAGGUGCCCUACACAUGAUUUUCUGUAAUCCCGAGAACCCUUCAUGGUAACUGCC
rnacentral:lncRNA from 10 species